GGGGGAAUUUUGGACAAUGGGCGAAAGCCUGAUCCAGCAAUACCGCGUGCAGGAUGAAGGCCCUCGGGUUGUAAACUGCUUUUGUACGGAACGAAAAGCCUGGGGCUAAUAUCCCCGGGUCAUGACGGUACCGUAAGAAUAAGCACCGGCUAACUACGUGCCAG
rnacentral:rRNA from 1 species